rnacentral:lncRNA from 1 species
UCUCAAGCAUAUUCAAGAGUUGAAAGAAAGAGAGGAGAUCAGCCAUCAAAAGAAGUCUUUGCAAGGGAGCUAGCACCCCGGGAAGACAAGAGAUCUUUGAUCAGGUCCUCUGCUUCGUGUGGAUACCCGUAGAGGCCGGACGUUUGAACGGCUUCAAACGAACCCUCAACCUAAAACCACGAGCUUCAGUUUGCGGUGAUCAUCUACCCGCACAAGGUGAAGAUUUGAUCUCCCUAAAGAUUUUAAAUUUAUUAAUUCUUAUCUAACUACGAACGGUCUAGAAACAGCGUUCAUGCAAUGAACGUCGAUCCCGCUAAUGCCGAUUCUGCUGCAAUCUGAUUUUUGUUUUGAAAUAUCAGCGGCAUAGGCGGGUUCCCAACAUAGACUAGUUCUCAAAAUCUGUAAAACAACAAGAGAUGGUAUAAUGAGCUAGACAGCCCAGUAAGUAAUGAACACUCUAGCUAGAUAAAUCAAGCAAUAAUAUGUAAAAAAUAAAUAAAUAUGCAGUUCCAAAGUAUAAGUCAAAUAUUUCUUGAAUUCAUAAGAUUCUUUUCGCGGUUUCAAGAUUCUUUCACAUAUUCAAUUCAUCUUGU